ACUAAUUCCCAUAUGUUGUCUGGAUGUGUGAAUUGUAAUGAUUUUUUGUUUUUGAACUGUUGUGGAGGAGGUUCUCCUUUCCCCAUAUCUUAUCUCAACAUGUUUCUCUCCUCUCCAGAAAUGACCGAGAAGGAUAUUUACUCAGAGAUGAAAUCACAUACCAAAAGGAAGAAAAUACAAUCCAGAACUUCUGACAGGAAAUAUGAGUAUGAUAAGCAUCUAUUUUCAAAGAGUCAUAAAAGUCACAGAAAAUAAUGAUAAGAAGAUGGUUCAUAUGGAGUUUGAACUUACCCCUAAUUCACAGACAGAUGAGAGACCUGAACUAUAUAAGGAGAAGGUAAUUAUUUGCAUAUAUUUCAGAUGUUACAAGAUCUUACUUUGAAGUUUCUGUUCACAUAACUCCUGUCAAAAGAAUAUAUUCCUCGUGUGCUCAUCUGAAUGAAAAAGUCUUAUUAUUCUCCAAAAUUUAAUCUUGGAGGAUAAUGAGAAGAAGAAAGCAAGCAUGAAAGCAAUAGUGUUAUGUGGAUUGAUGUUCAUUUUGAAGCCUCUCUUCCUCUGACUGGAUGUUUUUCAUUCAAUUUCAUAAAAAUUCACAUGUCCAUGAGAAAAUAAGCCUCACAAGCCAAAUAACGUUUUUCUGCUUUGUUCACUAAUAUAUCACCAGCAUUUAGAUGUAUGGCACAAAACAGAUUCUCAAGAAAUAUUUUUAAAUGAACUGAUUAUUUAUUUAUUUAUUCAUUCAUUAAAUGAAUGCAUAUCAAAUGGAACCAGCUGUUAAGCAUUAUGAUAGCUAUUACCUAUCAUUGCUUAUGUUGUGUAGACAAAAGAGAGAAAUUCUGCCCUUAAGGAUCUUAGAGUCCAGUGAGAGAUUGCAAGUAUACAGGAGUGGACAAACGCCACGUAGGAGUAAAAAUGGGGCAGGGAUCAAAGAAAAUCACCUUUUUGUGACGUGAGUCAGGAGUAAAAGUGGCUUAAGCAGAAUAAUCUUAAUUGUGAUAACUCUGCUGGGGCUGGAGAUGGAGGUGUGUUCCAGGUGAGGGGGCAGCAUAGACACGGAGGUGUGAUGGAGCAGUGGCCAGCAGAGGUGUGGAUGGACUAAGGAAACUAAAGGCAGGGAGGUCAGGCUGUUUCAGAUAAUCCAGGAGAGAAAUCAGUGUUCAGAAUACAGCUGUGAUAACGGGAAUGGAAAGGAUAGGAUUUAGCAGAGAGACAUAAGGAGGUAAAAUCAUCAAGAUUUGGUGAAUUGUAGAAUUGGAGAAGUAAGGAGAGACAAAAAUCAGGGAUGAUUCCUAGGCUUUUGACUCGGGAAACUUGGUAGGUUAUGGUGCCACUCAACAGGACAGGAAAUGCAGGUAGGGGAUUAUGAUGGCAGAUAGGCAGCAAGGCAAGGAGUUUAGAUUUGGGCGGUGGGUUUUCAACACCUGUGGAGAAUUCUUAUAAGAUGUCUGGUGAGACAUCAGAUACAUGAGUCAACAGACUAGGAAAGUGACCCUGUGAGAUCUAUAAACUUGGGAGUCAUUAGAACUGAAGGAGCAGAUGAAGCCAUGGCAGUUGAUGAGAUCAUUCAUUGAGAUGAUGCAGAUUAGUAAGAGAGAAAGGGCCAAAGGCAGAUACUAGAUAAAAAUCAUUUGAAGAUUGCACACACACGCACAAGCAACCAGGAAGUGACAUGAAGAAAGCUAUGAGUGUUAUCAUGUAAUGUAAGGGAGAAAUAUACUUCUCUCUCUCCUCUCAGAUACAAGAUUUCCUGGCUUCAUGAAAUGAGUUGUGGGCUGUCUCCCACCUUGACUCCAUGCUGCUGUUGUAUUUUGUUUUUUUUAGAAUUUGUGUAAUAUUAGGAUAAUCUAUCCUUUCAGCUUUUGGUACAACUUGCUUUUCAAACACUACGAAGCUAUUGGGUUUUUUUUGUGUGUGAGGAUAUUUAGAGUCAUCUUCAUUAAUGGUUAUAAAGAAGGAUGAGAUUCAAAAUAUUAACAACCUGUAUGGCAUAGGCCCAACCAUCCUGAAAAUACCCAAGCCUGGAAACAUCUGUUGUGUCCUGGUAUCUAUAAAACAUUUAAAAACAUUUAUUCUGGAGUACAUCUCGGUAAAUUAAAUACUUUUUGGUAUUUGUUCAUUUCAUCUAAGAUUUCGAAAGAAUUAUAACCUACUUAAAACUGUAACUCUUGAGGACUCAGUACCCCUCUUUUCUGAGAUAUUUCUUAUAUUAUUUACCAUCUUCUAGCGAACUAUGAGCUUUUAACUUAUUUAUUUAAUCAUUACCUACCCUUCCCUAAUUAUUAGAUCCAUGAGAACAUGGAUUUUUGCUUUUUGCACUACUUCAUACAUGAUGCUAAGAACAGUCUCUGGGGUACAUUGUGUGCUAAGCAAAUACUUGCUUAAAUGAAUAAUGUUUAAUUACCAGUUCUGACUUUAUGGAUCUUGUUUUAUAUUUACCUUCUGUUUAAUUUCUCCUCAUAUCACUUAUUUUCUCCCUUUUUCUUUCUUUUUCUCUUCUCCUAACUUCUUAAAUUGGGUGCUUAACGUAAAACUUUUAUUUUUUAAUGUAAAUAUUUUUAUCUUAAAAUACUAUGUGUUUUUUUCCACUAAAACAAGAAUAUGCCCAUUUUAGAAGAAAAUUUCUCUGAAUUUCAAUAUCCAAAAUAAAGCAUCCUUGUUACUUUGGUAUGUUUCA
rnacentral:lncRNA from 1 species